UACGAAGGGGGCUAGCGUUGUUCGGAAUCACUGGGCGUAAAGCGCACGCAGGCGGAUUGAUAAGUCAGGGGUGAAAUCCUGGAGCUCAACUCCAGAACUGCCUUUGAUACUGAAGAUCUUGAGUUCGGGGAGAGGUGAGUGGAACUGCGAGUGUAGAGGUGAAAUUCGUAGAUAUUCGCAAGAACACCAGUGGCGAAGGCGGCUCACUGGCCCCGA
rnacentral:rRNA from 1 species